GGGCGCAGCUUUAUACGACCGCAGAGGUCGAACCCCGAACGGUUGGGGCUAGUAUGGACACAACAUUCAAACUGGAUACAGCUCUGAAUUUGGAUUGUGAUUAUUAAAUUGUUGACACAGCAUAGGUUUCUGACACAGAAUGAAUGUGGUCUAAUGAACUUAAAAUGUUUUUUUUUUUUGCUUUUGAGCAAUUCACUAUGCUGUUGAAUAUUAAUCCUUUGAUAUUUGAAGAAAUUUUCUUUUUCAUUUCUGAAAUCUGAAAUAAGAAAAAUUGAACCGCACCAAUUUUUUUUCACCUCCCCCAUUCUCUUAUUCCAAAAACGAUCUCAAUUCAAAAUUCUAAUGGAUUUUUCAACAAUAACUACUCAUUUAAAUACAUCAUAAAAUAUAAAAUGUCAUAGUCAUGAUUUAAG
rnacentral:lncRNA from 1 species